GGAGGGGCGGGGCGAGGACGGCGCAGGCAGGACCGGGACUCCGACCUGGGCUGGCUCCCGCCGCCCUUGGCGCGGCCUCUCCCGGCCACCUGGGCCCGGGAAGCUCGGACGCGCCUCUGAGGCCUCGGUGCGGCCCAGGCCGCCUGCCGGAGGGACGCGUUGUACCUUCGCGGCUAUGGGCCGACCGGACGCCGAGCGCCUCAAGAGCUCGGAAGAAGUCGUCUUCGCGGAGAGCUGGGCGAGUCGGGCCUAGGCAGCACUGCUAAGUGAAAGGAAGCAGGAGGGCAGUGGGCCUGGGCACUCAGGGCACUCUGGCUAAUAUGACAGUUCUGGUGGCGCUGUAAGGACUCGGUUUCUUCAAUGCCAGCAACUUCCUCUAUCAGAAGACUCAGCCUUUCCUUCUCGUGCAGUUAUCUGCCUCCUGGAGGAAAUCAGGAUGAUGUCAAGGAUGAUGAUGGUCUUCAUCUCUGGAAAAGUGAGCAGAUGCAGGGGGUGGGGGGAGGCACAAGACUCCUGAGUGGGCGGGCCUAGGCCCCGAGAGGCUCUCGCCAAGUUAGCCCUGGUCCCUACAGCUUCCUUCUGGACUCUGAAUUCUGCGUUCUUUGAUAGGACCACCAAUGAGGCAGCAGGUUACACACAAUCAGCGGCUGGACGCGCUGUUUGGGCCCAGCGGCCGCAUUGCUCGUGGUUCAGGCAGUCUCCUUCUGGAUAAAAGACUUUGGAUACUCCAGGAGUUGGCCUAAUGCCUUCAGCAUGCCAGCAUCGAUAGCCAUCUGGGUCUGUUGGUCUGUUCCUGUGGCAACGCUGCGCUCAGUGCAGAGAGAAGAUGUCAAGGCAUUGAGAUCCCAGUUGGUCACAAACUCUAAGAGCCUGUACAGAAGCCCUGUGGUCGUCACAUGAUGAUGUGCUUAGUGCAUCCUUCAGUGAGGUGGGACAGGGCAGGGCCCAGGAGGUGUCUGAGAGGGAUCCCAUUAUUCCAAUGCCACAGGAGCUGAGAGGGUAUAGACAGCACCUACCUCACUACCUCCGCACAAGGUUAGGGAUUCUUCUUUCGGCAUAUGUUGGACAAAGCCCAUAUGAUGUUCCGAAAAAUGUGAUUGGUAUGCUUGUCGAAAUAAGGUUGAGGCAGGCACAGGAUGGCACUGUUGGAAAUGAUAUUGUCUCUGGAUUCUGGGCUGUCACCAGGCACAUUACUAAGAGUCCACACUGCCUGCUCACACAGGUCAGGUGCAGGGGAGACAGGAGUCCAGUCGGGGGCUGGAUGGCACCCCUUUUCACAACAGCUCUGGUCUGCUCUGAAAGCCCAGGUCGCAUCAAACUUCAGGCUGGGAAGAAGUGCCUCCUUCAAGAACAAUACCAAGUUGGGAAUGAGUUCUGCCGCAACAUGCAAUUUUAGUGAGGGGCUCCUCUCCCGGGGUACCACUUUCCUGGCAGCCUGCGUGGCCAGGAGACACAGGAUUGGAUCUGAGCUAUUCGCCUUUUGACUAUGUCUUCCAGAGUGAGGUUGGACACUUUGACUGGUACUUGAGAACCCACAUCAUUGGAGAAUUGG
rnacentral:lncRNA from 1 species